rnacentral:rRNA from 1 species
AUUGAACGCUGGCGGCAUGCUUUACACAUGCAAGUCGAGCGGCAGCGCGGGGGGCAACCCUGGCGGCGAGCGGCGAACGGGUGAGUAAUGCAUCGGAACGUACCCUGGAGUGGGGGAUAACGCCGCGAAAGCGGCGCUAAUACCGCAUAUGCUCUGAGGAGGAAAGUGGGGGACCUGCAAGGGCCUCACGCUCGUGGGAGCGGCCGAUGUCCGAUUAGCUAGUUGGGUAGGGGUAAACGGCCCACCAAGGCGACGAUCGGUAGCGUGGUCUGAGAGGAUGAUCAGCCACACUGGGACUGAGACACGGCCCAGACUCCUACGGGAGGCGGCAGGU